UCCACCCGUGAGCGCAGGCCUUUCGCAGCUCCUUCUUCGCCGCUCCACACCCGCCACCAGUUCGCCAUGGAUGACGAUAUCGCUGCGCUCAUUGUCGACAAUGGCUCCGGCAUGUGCAAAGCCGGCUUUGCCGGCAACAAUGCUCCCCGGGCCGUCUUCCCCUCCAUCGUGGGACGCCCUAGGCACCAGGGCGUCAGGGUGGGCAUGGGCCAGACUCCUACGUGGGCGACGAGGCCCAGAGCAAGAGAGGCAGUCUGACCCUGAAGUACCCUAUUGAACAUGGCAUUGUCACCAACUGGUACGACAUGGAGAAGAUCUGGCACCACAUCUUCUACAACGAGCUGCAUGUGGCCCCUGAGGAGCAUCCUGUGCUGCUCACCGAGGUCCCCCUGAACCCCAAGGCCAACCGUGAAAAGAUGACCCAGAUCAUGUUCGAGACCUUCAACACCCCAGCCAUGUACAUAGUCAUCCAGGCCGUGCCGUUUCUGUAUGCCUCUGGUCGUACCACUGGCUUUGUGAUGGACUACGGAGACGGGGUCACCCACACUGUGCCCAUCUAUUUCUCCCUCAUGCCAUCCUGCGUCUGGACCUGGCUGGCCGGGACCUGACAGACUACCUCAUGAAGAUCCUGACCGAGCGUGGCUACAGCUUCACCACCACAGUCGAGAGGGAAAUCGUGCAUGACAUCAAAGAGAAGCUGUGCUAUGUUGCCCUGGACUUCGAGCAAGAGAUGGCCACUGCUGCAUCCUCUUCCUCCCUGGAGAAGAGCUAUGAGCUGCCUGACGACCAGGUCAUCACUAUUGGCAAUGAGCGGUUCCGUGCCCCUGAGGCUCUUUUCCAGCCUUCCUUCCUGGGUAUGGAAUCUUCUGGCAUCCACAAAACUACAUUCAAUUCCAUCAUGAAGCGUGACGUCGACAUCCGCAAAGACCUCUAUGCCAACACAGUGCUGUCUGGUGGCACCACCAUGUACCCAGGCAUUGCUGACAGGAUGCAGAAGGAGAUCACUGCUCUGGCUCCUAGCACCAUGACGAUCAAGAUCAUUGCUCCUCCCGAGCACAAAUACUCUGUGUGGAUCGGUGGCUCCAUCCUGGACUCCCUGUCCACCUUCCAGCAUAUGUGGAUCAGCAAGCAGGAGUAUGAUGAGUCUGGCCACUCCAUUGUGCACCUCAAAUGCUUCUAGGCAAACUGUGACUGAGCUGCGUUUUACACCCUUUCGUUGACAAAACCUAA